rnacentral:snRNA from 1 species
GGAUGUGAGGGCGAUCUGGCUGUGACAUCUGUCACGCCAUUGAUCGCCAGGGUUGAUCCGGCUGAUCUGGCUGACUAGGAGGGGUGUCCCCUUCCUCCCUCAUCGCUCCUUGUGUGUCCUACCCUAAGCUGCACGCUCAGUCAAAGAGGACGGCCUUCCCUGAACAGAGUGCAGUGAAAUAAAGACUU